AUACGGAGGAUGCGAGCGUUAUCCGGAUUUAUUGGGUUUAAAGGGUGCGUAGGCUGUGCGUUAAGUCAGGGGUGAAAUGCCGUCGCUCAACGACGGAGCUGCCCUUGAUACUGGCGUGCUGGAGUACGGAUGCCGUUGGAGGAAUGAGUGGUGUAGCGGUGAAAUGCUUAGAUAUCACUCAGAACACCGAUUGCGAAGGCAUCUGACGAAUCCGUCACUGACGCUGAGGCGCGAAAGCGUGGGGAUAGAACAGGAUUAGAUACCCUGGUAUUCCACGCCGUAAACGAUGAUGACUAACCGUCGGCGAUAGACAGCCGGUGGCCAAGCGAAAGCGAUAAGUCAUCCACCUGGGGAGUACGUCGGCAACGAUGAAACUCAAAGGAAUUGACGGGG
rnacentral:rRNA from 1 species